GUCUAGAUUUAUAUUGUAUAGUGUCUUGUAAGCCCAUGUGGACAUGACACUGAAAUUAACAAAUCAAUCAAUCUAAAAGAGAAGAAUGUUCACAUGGCUUCAUAAAUCUGAACCUUUCUCAGUGUAGAACAAAGUGUGUAUGAGAGCCAUGUAAUGUCCAUGUUAGCAUGACGGUGCUGCUCUGACCCCCCUCCUCCUUUCAGGGUGGAGCCUGCUGGAGAACCAUGGUUGAGACCAGGAGGUGUGAGGAAGUAUUCCUGUCCACUCACUAUCGACACAAACACAGUGAGCAGAGACCUCAAACUGUCUGACAACAACAGGAAGGUGACACGUUUGGAGGAGUUUCAGUCAUAUCCUGAUCAUCCAGACAGAUUUAAUUGUCUUCAGCUGCUGUGUGGAAAUGUUCUGACUGGUCGCUGCUACUGGGAGGUCGAGUGGAGAGGAGAGGUUUAUAUAUCAGUGAGUUAUAAAGAAAUCAGGAGGAGUGGAAACUUCAGAGACUGUUGUUUUGGAUUCAAUGAUCAGUCCUGGAGUCUGAGAUGCUCUGAUGAUGGAGGUUACUCUGUCUGGCACAAUGAGAGAAGCACACCCAUCUCCUCCUCCUCCUCCUCCUCCUCUGUCUCUAACAGAGUAGCAGUGUAUGUGGACUGUCCUGCUGGCUCUCUGUCCUUCUACAGAGUCUCCUCUGACUCACUGAUCCACCUCCACACCUUCAUCACCACAUUCACUCAUCCUCUCUGUGCUGGAUUUGGGAUCUGGUUCAAGUCUGGUUCCUGGGUGUCUCUGUGUUGAGUGUAAAGAGUUUGAUCGUGUCAGAGAAACUCUGACUGGUGAACAGAUAGUUCAGUCUGUACAUGUCUGUCUCUUUCACUCAGAAACAUCUUUUCAGAUUCAACCAGUUUCUGUGUGAAACUCUUCUAAAUGAUUCCUUGGAAACUUCUUCCUCUUCCAGUCCUUUAAAGAUGGAAGUUGUGCUUCAUCCAGGAUUCACAUGUUGUUUCCAGUCAAAGCUUCACACUGAAUAUCAGGAUGUUGUGUUCACUUCAUGUCAGCUGCAGUUAGUUUCACUUCAUGAUGCUGGAAAUGAAAAUCCUCCCAGUGUUUCACUCUUAGUUUGUUUGCUUCAUUCUGUCUUUAUUUGGACUUUCUGACAUUUUCACAUGUUGAAUUAUUGGUUUUUCACUUUUUGCCUCUUUAUUCACCACAAUCUUCAUUUUUCA